rnacentral:rRNA from 1 species
GAUGAACGCUGGCGGCGUGCCUAAUACAUGCAAGUCGAGCGAACAGACGAGGAGCUUGCUCCUCUGACGUUAGCGGCGGACGGGUGAGUAACACGUGGAUAACCUACCUAUAAGACUGGGAUAACUUCGGGAAACCGGAGCUAAUACCGGAUAAUAUAUUGAACCGCAUGGUUCAAUAGUGAAAGACGGUUUUGCUGUCACUUAUAGAUGGAUCCGCGCCGCAUUAGCUAGUUGGUAAGGUAACGGCUUACCAAGGCAACGAUGCGUAGCCGACCUGAGAGGGGGGUGGGCCCAGCGGGAGCUGAAACACGGCCCAGACCCCAAGGGGAGGCAGCGGUGGGAAAUCUCCCGCAAGGGGCGAAACCCUGAGGGGGAAACCCCGCGGAGGUAAUGAAGGGCUUCGGAUCGUAAAACUUUUUUAUUAGGAAAAAAAAAAUGGGAAAGUAACCAUCCCCGUCUGGACGGAACCUAAUCAAAAAGCCCCGGCAAACUCCGG